CGAACGGGUGAGUAACGCGUGAGGAACCUGCCUCAAAGAGGGGGACAACAGUUGGAAACGACUGCUAAUACCGCAUAAGCCCACGGCUCGGCAUCGAGCAGAGGGAAAAGGAACAAUCCGCUUUGAGAUGGCCUCGCGUCCGAUUAGCUAGUUGGUGAGGUAACGGCCCACCAAGGCGACGAUCGGUAGCCGGACUGAGAGGUUGAACGGCCACAUUGGGACUGAGACACGGCCCAG
rnacentral:rRNA from 1 species